rnacentral:lncRNA from 1 species
GCCACUUCCAGCCCUUUGCCUAAGAUUAGCCUAUGGGAAGCAUGGCCUCUGUGUGAAUUGGUGGUGGAUUCAAAGCACAGCAUCUGGGGUCCUGUGUCAAUUACGCUCUCCUCAACAGAAGAUCUGAGUGGUGGUGCAUCUUCAUGGCUGCUGGCAGGCCCCGCUGUGUAAUUACGUCUGGAAUUGGUGGGUUCUUGGUCUCACCGACUUCAAGAAUGAAGCCGUGGAUCCUCGUGCUGACAGAAUCAAGUUUUAAAGAUCCAGUUAAAUGCCUGGCUAUCAACUUGCCAAGAGCUGAUCCAGAUGGAAGCCAUCAUCCUAAGAGUCAGACAACUCAUUAACUCUAAAGGGACUGCCAUGUAUUAAAAAUUCUCUUUAUGGAUUGUGAUGAGUUGCAUUGUUUGAUUUAUUCUUUUGUAUUCAAACUAUAUUUAUGGUGUAUCUAGAAAUAAAAUUACCUUUAAGAUAUAUUUAAAAUUUUUCACACAC